rnacentral:lncRNA from 1 species
AUGCUUAACAAGAACAAAAUAAGCUUGAAAGAACUUCUCCCUUUUUCUCUCCUGCCACUCAGAUGUGAGGACAUUGUUACAAGCCCCUCAGCUGAGAAGGGGUGGCACUACAUUGCUGGGGAGCUGCCGGAGCCGCUAACAGCCUGCCACAACUGCUGCAAGUGUUACGUGUGGUCCAACUGGUGGCCUGCAGGCCAGCUCCAGGCUGCUGCGCCAAUCCAUCCGGCCCACUGGCUUCUUCCUUGGAGGAGAUGGGGAACAGCUGUUUUGAGCAAGGACUGCACCCUCAGCAGCUGAGCCUGCCCUCCAGCACAAAGCCACAAUGCUGCUGUUGACGGGAGGGUGCCAUCAGGAAUUCUCCAUCAGAAUUUGUGUCAUUUUAUUGCGUCACCAAAGAAACCUCCAGUA